rnacentral:rRNA from 1 species
UACGGGGGGGGUAAGCGUUGUUCGGAAUUACUGGGCGUAAAGGGCUCGUAGGCGGCCAACUAAGUCAGACGUGAAAUCCCUCAGCUUAACUGGGGAACUGCGUCUGAUACUGGAUGGCUUGGAUUCGGGAGAGGAAUGCGGAAUUCCAGGUGUAGCGGUGAAAUGCGUAGAUAUCUGGAGGAACACCGGUGGCGAAGGCGGGUCUCUGGGCCGAUACUGACGCUGAGGAGCGAAAGCGUGGGGAGCGAACAGG